rnacentral:snoRNA from 1 species
CAGCUUUUGGUGUUGCUUUUCCGCAACUGCCAUUUGCCAUUGAUGAUAACUCUUCACUUCCUCUGGGAGUGUAAGAGGGAGAGGAUGCAGUCAGAAUGUU